rfam:Otolemur garnettii contig179686, whole genome shotgun sequence.
CCAAAGGCUCUUUUCAGAGCCACCCACAGUUGUCCCUAGCCCACC